ensembl:processed_transcript
UUAAAGUCUGAAAUAUAAAAAACUGAAAAGCACUUUGAACUGAUCAGUGUGAUCGGCUCUUAAGAGUGAACUGACAUUCUCAAAUGAUGUUUAUUUUAAAAUUGUGAAUAAAUACAUUCUCUAUAACAUUUAUUCACAUUCAGACAUUUUUUAGCAAUAUUUACCUUUAAAAAGUUACUCAAAUAUAUCGGAACAUACUGUACAAUAGGGUUGUCACAAUACCAUAAAUGUAUGUCACAAUACUAUAGCAGCUGAAGUGUCAUGAUACCAAGUAGUAUUCAGAUACUGUAAUUUAUAACUCAAAUUUAUGAAAUGAAGCAAACUGUCCGAAAUAUUAUAUUUUAUAUGUUAUAAUUCUUAUAUUUUACUAUUAAUUUAACAAAAAAAUAUUAUUUGUGUUAUUUGACAUUUGCUGUUUUAUUUAGUGACAUUUCCACAUGCAGAAUUAACCUUUGUGGAACCAUUAAUGAAGAUACUACCAUUUACAAACUACAGUGACAUCAGUAUUUCUUACGGUACUACCAUAGUAUCAGU